UACAGAGGUCCCAAGCGUUGUUCGGAUUCACUGGGCGUAAAGGGUGCGUAGGCGGUCGGGUAAGUCUGAUGUGAAAUCUCACAGCUUAACUGUGAAACUGCAUUGGAUACUAUUCGGCUUGAGAGUUGGAGGGGGGGACUGGAAUUCUUGGUGUAGCAGUGAAAUGCGUAGAUAUCAAGAGGAACACCAGUGGCGAAGGCGAGUCCCCUGGACAACUCCUGACACUGAGGCACGAAAGCUAGGGGAGCAAACAGG
rnacentral:rRNA from 1 species